CGGGCGGCUGGCGCCAGGCACGGUGGCAGCGGGCAACAUGGCCGAGAGGCCGCGGCCUCCGGGCGGCGCCGUGUCUGCGACCGCCUACCCCGAC
ensembl:miRNA